rnacentral:rRNA from 1 species
CCUACGGGAGGCAGCAGUGGGGAAUAUUGCACAAUGGGCGCAAGCCUGAUGCAGCGACGCCGCGUGGGGGAUGACGGCCUUCGGGUUGUAAACUCCUUUCGCUAGGGACGAAGCUUUUUGUGACGGUACCUAGAUAAGAAGCACCGGCUAACUACGUGCCAGCAGCCGCGGUAAUACGUAGGGUGCGAGCGUUGUCCGGAAUUACUGGGCGUAAAGAGCUCGUAGGUGGUUUGUCGCGUCGUCUGUGAAAUUCCGGGGCUUAACUCCGGGCGUGCAGGCGAUACGGGCAUAACUUGAGUACUGUAGGGGUAACUGGAAUUCCUGGUGUAGCGGUGAAAUGCGCAGAUAUCAGGAGGAACACCGAUGGCGAAGGCAGGUCUCUGGGCAGUAACUGACGCUGAGGAGCGAAAGCAUGGGUAGCGAACAGGAUUAGAUACCCUGGUAGUCCAUGCCGUAAACGGUGGGCGCUAGGUGUGAGGGUCUUUUCACGACUUUCGUGCCGUAGCUAACGCAUUAAGCGCCCCGCCUGGGGAGUACGGCCGCAAGGCUAAAACUCAAAGGAAUUGACGGGGGCCCGCACAAGCGGCGGAGCAUGUGGAUUAAUUCGAUGCAACGCGAAGAACCUUACCUGGGCUUGACAUACACUGGAUCGCUGCAGAGAUGUAGUUUCCCUUUGUGGCUGGUGUACAGGUGGUGCAUGGUUGUCGUCAGCUCGUGUCGUGAGAUGUUGGGUUAAGUCCCGCAACGAGCGCAACCCUUGUCUUAUGUUGCCAGCAUUUGGUUGGGGACUCAUGAGAGACUGCCGGGGUCAACUCGGAGGAAGGUGGGGAUGACGUCAAAUCAUCAUGCCCCUUAUGUCCAGGGCUUCACACAUGCUACAAUGGUCGGUACAACGCGCAGCGACACUGUGAGGUGGAGCGAAUCGCUGAAAGCCGGCCUUAGUUCGGAUUGGGGUCUGCAACUCGACCCCAUGAAGUCGGAGUCGCUAGUAAUCGCAGAUCAGCAACGCUGCGGUGAAUACGUUCCCGGGCCUUGUACACACCGCCCGUCACGUCAUGAAAGUUGGUAACACCCGAAGCCAGUGGCUCAAACUCGUUAGGGAGCUGUCGAAGGUGGGAUCGGCGAUUGGGACGAAGUCGUAACAAGGUAGCCGUACCGGAAGGUGCGGCUG